rnacentral:rRNA from 1 species
CCCUUAGAUGUUCUGGGCCGCACGCGCGCUACACUGAUGCAUUCAACGAGCCUAUCCUUAACCGACAGGUCCGGGUAAUCUUUGAAUCUGCAUCGUGACGGGGAUAGAUUAUUGCAAUUAUUAAUCUUCAACGAGGAAUGCCUAGUAGGCGCAAGUCAUCAGCUUGCGUCGAUUACGUCCCUGCCCUUUGUACACACCGCCCGUCGCUCCUACCGAUUGGGUGUGCUGGUGAAAUGUUCGGAUCGGCCGUUUGUCGCGGUUUCCGCGUCAUGUGGCUGAGAAGUUCAUUAAACCCUCCCACCUAGAGGAAGGAGAAGUCGUAACA